UACGGAGGGGGCUAGCGUUGUUCGGAAUUACUGGGCGUAAAGCGCACGUAGGCGGAUUUGUAAGUCAGGGGUGAAAUCCCGAGGCUCAACCUCGGAACUGCCUUUGAUACUGCAAAUCUCGAGUCCGGAAGAGGUGAGUGGAAUUCCUAGUGUAGAGGUGAAAUUCGUAGAUAUUAGGAAGAACACCAGUGGCGAAGGCGGCUCACUGCUCCGGUACUGACGCUGAGGUGCGAAAGCGUGGGGAGCAAACAGG
rnacentral:rRNA from 1 species